rnacentral:rRNA from 1 species
UGCCAGCAGCCGCGGUAAUACGAAGGGGGCUAGCGUUGUUCGGAAUUACUGGGCGUAAAGCGCACGUAGGCGGACCGGUCAGUUGGGGGUGAAAUCCCAGGGCUCAACCCUGGAACUGCCUCCAAUACUGCCGGUCUUGAGUCCGAGAGAGGUGAGUGGAAUUCCUAGUGUAGAGGUGAAAUUCGUAGAUAUUAGGAAGAACACCAGUGGCGAAGGCGGCUCACUGGCUCGGUACUGACGCUGAGGUGCGAAAGCGUGGGGAGCAAACAGGAUUAGAUA